AAUUUCCUUAAAAUUACCAAUUCAGGGGCAGCAACCUAGCAACGUGUCGUUCGAUCCAUCUGAAUAUUUCAGGGCAGAUAGAUUUUGACCUGAUAAACAAUUCAACCACAGUCAGAUUUGAUCUUAAUGCUUUGGUUUUUGACAUUUUACCCCUAUGUUCUACUUUUAGCCGUGGCAGCCAUCUUGUUUGGAUGGCCGGGUCACCGGACACAUUUUUUAAACUAGAUACCCAAAAGAUGAUUGUGGCCAAGUUUGGAUUAAUUUGGCCCAGUAGUUUCAGAGGAGAAGAUUUUUGUAAAAG
rnacentral:lncRNA from 1 species